AAAUAAGAAUGAGUUAACAUUAAAAUAUAGGUCGAAACUAAUUACAAAUUUUGUUUCUUAUUA
rnacentral:tRNA from 1 species